GAUGAACGCUGGCGGCGUGCCUAAUACAUGCAAGUCGAGCGAACGGACGAGAAGCUUGCUUCUCUGAUGUUAGCGGCGGACGGGUGAGUAACACGUGGAUAACCUACCUAUAAGACUGGGAUAACUUCGGGAAACCGGAGCUAAUACCGGAUAAUAUUUUGAACCGCAUGGUUCAAAAGUGAAAGACGGUCUUGCUGUCACUUAUAGAUGGAUCCGCGCUGCAUUAGCUAGUUGGUAAGGUAACGGCUUACCAAGGCAACGAUGCAUAGCCGACCUGAGAGGGUGAUCGGCCACACUGGAACUGAGCCACGGUCCAGACUCCUACGGGAGGCAGAAGUAGGGACUCUUCCGCAAUGGGCGAAAGCCUGACGGAGCAACGCCGGGUGAGUGAUGAAGGUCUUCGGAUCGUAAAACUCUGUUAUUAGGGAAGAACAUAUGUGUAAGUAACUGUGCACAUCUUGACGGUACCUAAUCAGAAAGCAACGGCUAACUACGUG
rnacentral:rRNA from 1 species